rnacentral:lncRNA from 1 species
GAGUAGACCGUGUAGAGGACGUGGUCGGUGUUCACAAAGCAGUCCAGCAUCUCCUCCUCUGCUUUGGCUUGACGCCAGAAGAAGGGUGGCAACGAAAUAGAGAUGGAGAAGACCCACACCAGCACGAUCAUGAUGGCCGCCCUUUUGGGAGUCCUUUUAGCAGAAUACUCCACCGCAUCGGUGAUGGCCCAGUAGCGGUCCAGGGCGAUGACACAGAGAUGCAUGAUGGAAGCAGUGCAACAGGUGAUAUCCGACGACAGCCAGAAGUCGCAGACCACCUGGCCUAGUGUCCAGCGUCCAGUGACCGUGUACAUGGUGCUGAUGGGCAUCACCAGGAUGGACACGAGCAGCAUUUCAAAGCAAAACUCCUGCAAGUACCAUUUACAAGAAGGAUCUACGCGAGGCACAAAGCAAAUCUCAAGCAAACUGAAACUGACAGUUAAUCAAAAAAGAUGAUUAAGAAAAUAACCGUAAUCAAAGGAAAUAACUUCUCCAUCAACAAUCAGCAUACGCCACGACUGCAAGCUCCUGCUGCCUGCACCUCCUUGCCAUGAUGGACUGUACCUUGAACCCUGUGCUGAAAGAAGCCUGUUCUUUCAUAAGUUGCUUUCAUCAGAGUAUUAUGUCACAGCAACAGAAGAGAAACUAGGACAGCAUAAAUAAAAUUACAUUUCAUAAAUUUGCCAGCACCCAAAUCUAACUCAACCCUCCCAAGUAUACAGAGCCAUGUUCUAUCUUGUCCUUGUCAAAUACCCCUGUCUUUCUCUCAGGUACUUCCAAAGGCUGAUGGCUGACACCUUGGCAACAAAAAUGUAUAACUACAUUGUCUUGGUUCAUUCUUCACUCAGUAGAUUAUUGCUUUGGAUCCUAAAUGCCAAUAUUUUUUCUGUAUAUAUUAAAUGAAAAGGUCUAAGACAGUGAUGACUUCUCUUGUUAGAAAAGUUUACUUUUCUGCCAAAUGUAUACUCUAUUUUCAGUAUUAGAGUAUGCUUUUAUUAUGUCUAUUUUUUUCUCUACUACCGCUUGACUAUAACAGACUAGUUAUGUGAAUUUGUCCUAACGUAGUAAAUUUUAAGGCUAAAACUUUGGGCUGUGGUGAGUUCUCAGAUCAUUGUCAGUUUGUUUCCAAAAGGAAUAUGAGACCCCAGUUCUCUCUUAUUCUUCCUUCUGCUUCUUAAUCACGAGGUAAUGCAGUUUACCAUUUGCCCCAUCUUGGUCCUCUGGCAUCCUUAUCUCUAGUCCAAAUAUAGGUUAACAAAAUCUUAGAAUUUCCAAUCCAAAAGCAUGAGCCAAUAUGCACCUUUCAUAUUCAUUAAUCAAUCAUUUAACAUUUGGGUUGUUAUAGUAACAAGAAGCUAACUAACAAAGUCCCUUCAUGUCCUGAGAGAGGUAUCAUAUAUUUUUUUAAAAUGUUUUUUUGGUGUUAUUUUCAUUAUGUUUGCAUUUUAAGUAUGAGUGUGUAUAGAAAAUUGGCAUUUAGUUGAGUAAGAUUGCUGAGUAUUUUGAGUCAUAAAAAUUGGGUUGUCAUUUGUUUUAUAUUUUUGUGCAUAUGUAUGUUUAUUUUUACUUAUUAUUAAUGUUUUAUUGUUUAAAAACAGAUGAAUUC